AUGUCAGAAGGACACCUUCUAAUCAAUUACUUAUAUCUUUCCCAAGCUUCAUAGAGGGAUUUACCUUCCUUCUGUUUGAAGGUUUAAACUUUCACUCUAAGCUU